rnacentral:lncRNA from 1 species
GCCAGGAUGUUUUUGCUUGAGCUGACUUGUUUCCCUUUUUGACUCUCCUUCCUGAAAAUCAUGAUACCAUCCAGUGCAGAAGAGGACGCUGGCGUGUAGAAGAAGAGAGGGAAUAAGAGCAGAAAAAGUUCCCUUGAACCCUGGAGGUUGCAGUGAGCCAAGAUCACGCCACUGUGCUCCAGCCUGGGCAACAGAGUGAGACUCAAUCUGAAAGAAAAAAAAAAAAAAGACAUCACCAAGGGCUACCUGGAUCUCUCAGAAUGGGUUUGUUGGAUGAAUGAAGGCUGAGAAUCUCUUGCUGGUUCCUCUACAACCUGAGCCUGACCUGAUGACUGGCAGUAGUUGCUGAAUUCUACCCUCAACAGUGGUGCAAGUUUGGGCUUCUGGGCCCAUAAACCUAUAUCCCCUGACCCUCUGACCAUCUCUGACCCUCUUGUGAACCAUCUGUUAUUUCAAAAGGUAUCAUACAUUCCUUCCAAAUAAAACUUCAUUUAGCU